UGGGGAAUUUUGGACAAUGGGCGAAAGCCUGAUCCAGCAAUGCCGCGUGUGUGAAGAAGGCCUUCGGGUUGUAAAGCACUUUUGUCCGGAAAGAAAUCCUUGGCUCUAAUACAGUCGGGGGAUGACGGUACCGGAAGAAUAAGCACCGGCUAACUACGUGCCAGCAGCCGCGGUAAUACGUAGGGUGCAAGCGUUAAUCGGAAUUACUGGGCGUAAAGCGUGCGCAGGCGGUUUGCUAAGACCGAUGUGAAAUCCCCGGGCUCAACCUGGGAACUGCAUUGGUGACUGGCAGGCUAGAGUAUGGCAGAGGGGGGUAGAAUUCCACGUGUAGCAGUGAAAUGCGUAGAGAUGUGGAGGAAUACCGAUGGCGAAGGCAGCCCCCUGGGCCAAUACUGACGCUCAUGCACGAAAAGCGUGGGGGAGCAAAACAGGAUUAGAUACCCUGGUAGUCCACGCCCUAAAACGAUGUCAACUAGUUGUUGGGGAUUCAUUUCCUUAGUAACGUAGCUAACGCGUGAAGUUGACCGCCUGGGGGAGUACGGUCGCAAAGAUUAAAACUUAAAUGAAUUGACGGGGUCAUAGCUGUUUCCU
rnacentral:rRNA from 1 species